AGUCCACGCCGUAAACGAUGUCGACUUGGAGGUUGUGCCCUUGAGGCGUGGCUUCCGGAGCUAACGCGUUAAGUCGACCGCCUGGGGAGUACGGCCGCAAGGUUAAAACUCAAAUGAAUUGACGGGGGCCCGCACAAGCGGUGGAGCAUGUGGUUUAAUUCGAUGCAACGCGAAGAACCUUACCUGGCCUUGACAUCCACGGAAUUCGGCAGAGAUGCCUUAGUGCCUUCGGGAACCGUGAGACAGGUGCUGCAUGGCUGUCGUCAGCUCGUGUUGUGAAAUGUUGGGUUAAGUCCCGCAACGAGCGCAACCCUUAUCCUUUGUUGCCAGCGAGUAAUGUCGGGAACUCAAAGGAGACUGCCGGUGACAAACCGGAGGAAGGUGGGGAUGACGUCAAGUCAUCAUGGCCCUUACGGCCAGGGCUACACACGUGCUACAAUGGCGCAUACAAAGAGAAGCGAACUCGCGAGAGCAAGCGGACCUCACAAAGUGCGUCGUAGUCCGGAUCGGAGUCUGCAACUCGACUCCGUGAAGUCGGAAUCGCUAGUAAUCGUAGAUCAGAAUGCUACGGUGAAUACGUUCCCGGGCCUUGUACACACCGCCCGUCACACCAUGGGAGUGGGUUGCAAAAGAAGUAGGUAGCUUAACCUUCGGGAGGGCGCUUACCACUUUGUGAUUCAUGACUGGGGUGAAGUCGUAACAAGGUACCAAGGGCGAA
rnacentral:rRNA from 1 species